rnacentral:rRNA from 1 species
UACGGAAGGGGGCUAGCGUUGUUUCGGAAUCACUGGGGCGUAAAGCGCGACGUAGGCGGAUCUUUAAGUCAGGGGUGAAAUCCCGAGGCUCAACCUCGGAACUGCCUUUGAUACUGGGGGAUCUCGAGUCCGGGAGGAGGUGAGUGGAACUGGCGAGUGUAGAGGUGAAAAUUCGUAGAUAUUCGCAAGAACACCAGUGGCGAAGGCGGACUCGCUGGCCCCGGAACGUGACGCUGAGGUGCGAAAGCGAUGG